UACGAAGGGGGGCUAGCGUUGCUCGGAAUCACUGGGCGUAAAGCGCACGUAGGCGGCUUUUUAAGUCAGAGGUGAAAUCCUGGAGCUCAACUCCAGAACUGCCUUUGAUACUGGAGAGCUUGAGUCCGGGAGAGGUGAGUGGAACUGCGAGUGUAGAGGUGAAAUUCGUAGAUAUUCGCAAGAACACCAGUGGCGAAGGCGGCUCACUGGCCCGAUACUGACGCUGAGGUGCGAAAGCGUGGGAGCAAACAGG
rnacentral:rRNA from 1 species